AUGUAGAGUCAGUGACGCCUGUGGAUGAUAGGGAAUGUAGAAUGUCAUCAGAUACCUGACUGUUGGCCCAUUGUUGGGAAGCCUUUGUGACAAAAUGCCCACAAUUUUCAGACUGUAGAUGGUCCAGAAAGCCAAAAUCAUGGCGUAGCUUAUUUUCAUAGGCUACAAUGAUGUGGCCAGAAUUAGCAGAUUAGACAGGAACAGCAACAAUAUAACUAGAAAAAUGUGUCACCAAGAGUGAAGCAUCAACAGUCACCCUGAGAGGAGGCUCUCAAUCCAGAGUGGUCAAUCUGUUAGCAGCGGGCAGGGUCAGUGCCCGAUAUGAGGCGGCCUCCUUCACCACGAGACCAGCUGGCCAACUUUUGGCAGAAGUCACAAGGGUGGCGUGUCCCGAGGAUCUUCUCUCACUCUGGCCAGUCUGUUGUGCGAAUGUGUUGCUAUGUGCCAUGACAGGCUGGGCAGUGCACCUUCCUCAGCAGCUUGAUCCCAGUCGGUCUUGUCAGAGAGUGGACCUUACCACGGGCAUGUACUUAGACAGUCCAUCAACUAUGAAAUCCAUUUCUCUGUUAGAUUCCUGUCCUCAUCACCAAUACUGUCAAAAACUACAAAGUGCCUAGGCUGUUAUCCUACUUGCAAGAUAAUGGGGAAGACAAUUACUAUUUAUGCUGACAUAAGACACAAGCCUCCUGGGUCAGAGACAAAUGAUUUGAUUACUCACAGCAGCAGCAGGUGCCAGCGUGUCAGCAUGGUGCUUUCAGGGCAUCCCCAUACACCCUGCCCCAUCAUCAUCGUGGGGUGAUACAAAGUGUCCAUGCGAAUAUCUGCACAGUGAAUUAUGUUACAGGAGAAGAACCCUGAAUUUGAAGGAUUCACUGAUCUUAUAUUGAGCAGAGAUAAGCCUUUUCUGUGUGCAGUGGUGGAUGUCACCUCAGCCGCCAAGGAUCCUCCCUGUAAACACGCCUGUGGGAAAUGGCAUAUGUAAAGAGCAACUUCACCUCUGCAUUCAGGGCACACCCAGCAAGAACAUGCACGGGCUCCCAGGGACCACAGGGGUGCCUCUCCCGGCAUAUACUGAAUGAUUUUAAGCCUGUGAAAUAUUUUGAAGCUUGCCAUGUGACCUAGCAUGGGGUCAAUAUGAGUAAAUAAAAUUUGACGUACAAAAUAAUGUGAAAUCUUCUGCUGAUGGUGUGAAUCUCACAACCAGUUUGUCAAAUUCUGUUAAAAAAAAAAAAAAGAAGCCUGCUGGAAUUUUGAUUGGGAUUGUGUCAAGUCUAUACAUCAAGUGGAGGAGAAAGAGCAUCUUAACAAUCCUGAGUCUUCAGGCCCAUAAACGAGUUGUAU
rnacentral:lncRNA from 1 species